rnacentral:ncRNA from 1 species
GUUGGCGUCGUGACGCUCAAAUCCGAACCUCUCCAGAUCACAACAGAACUACCGGGCCGCACCAGCGCUUACCGCAUUGCGGAAGUGCGUCCUCAGGUGAGCGGCAUCAUCCUGAAACGUAACUUCACCGAAGGCGGUGAUGUUAAAGCAGGUGAGUCUCUGUAUCAGAUUG